AGAGUCGGCCGGGCAAUCGCUUUCGGUUUUUUCGAGAGAGGAAAGUCCGGGCUCCAUAGGGCAGGGUGCCAGGUAACGCCUGGAGGGUGUGAACCCAUGGAAAGUGCCACAGAAAAUAGACCGCCGAUGACCCGACUACCUCGAUCAAAAAGUCCCGACAUCGACAGCCUGUAUUUGGAAUCAGGCUUGACUAGUUGGUUCGAGAAUCGGAAAAGGUAGUCAGUCGGGUACAGGCAAGGGUGAAACGGUGCGGUAAGAGCGCACCGCGCGGUUGGCAACAAUCCGCGGCACGGCAAACCCCACCCGGAGCAAGAUCAAAUAGGGGAGCGAGGGAAACAAUCCAUGUGCGGCCCGCACAAGCUCCCGGGUAGAUCGCUAAAGGCAUGUGGCGACGUAUGCCGUAGAGGAAUGAUUGCCCUCGACAGAACCCGGCUUACAGGCCGGCUCUCUUU
rnacentral:RNase_P_RNA from 3 species